ACCUGGGUGGCUCAGUCGGUUAAGCAUCUGACUUCGGCUCAGGUCAUGAUCUCACAGUUUGUGGGUUCGAGCCCCACAUUGGGCA
rnacentral:tRNA from 1 species